rnacentral:rRNA from 1 species
CAGUCGCCGCGGUAAUACGUAGGUGGCAAGCGUUAUCCGGAAUUAUUGGGCGUAAAGCGCGCGUAGGCGGUUUUUUAAGUCUGAUGUGAAAGCCCACGGCUCAACCGUGGAGGGUCAUUGGAAACUGGAAAACUUGAGUGCAGAAGAGGAAAGUGGAAUUCCAUGUGUAGCGGUGAAAUGCGCAGAGAUAUGGAGGAACACCAGUGGCGAAGGCGACUUUCUGGUCUGUAACUGACGCUGAUGUGCGAAAGCGUGGGGAUCAAACAGGAUUAGAGACCCGCGUAGUCCCUGUCUCUUAUAC